UACGUAGGGUGCAAGCGUUAAUCGGAAUUACUGGGCGUAAAGCGUGCGCAGGCGGCUUUGCAAGACAGAUGUGAAAUCCCCGGGCUCAACCUGGGAACUGCAUUUGUGACUGCAUUGCUAGAGUAUGGGAGAGGGAAGUGGAAUUUCCGGUGUAGCGGUGAAAUGCGUAGAUAUCGGAAGGAACAUCAGUGGCGAAAGCGACUUCCUGGACCAAUACUGACGCUCAUGUGCGAAAGCGUGGGGAGCAAACAGG
rnacentral:rRNA from 1 species